rnacentral:tRNA from 1 species
GGGCCAUUAGCUCAACUGGCAGAGCAACUGACUCUUAAUCAGGAGGUUACAGGUUCGAUUCCUGUAUGGCCCACCA